rnacentral:rRNA from 1 species
UACGUAGGGAGCAAGCGUUGUCCGGAAUCAUUGGGCGUAAAGCGCGCGUAGGUGGCCUCAUAAGUCCGCUGUGAAAGUCAAAGGCUCAACCUUUGAAAGCCGGUGGAUACUGUGAGGCUAGAGUACGGAAGAGGCGAGUGGAAUUCCUGGUGUAGCGGUGGAAUGCGCAGAUAUCAGGAGGAACACCAAUAGCGAAGGCAACUCGCUGGGACGUUACUGACACUGAGGCGCGAAAGCGUGGGGAGCGAACAGG